ACCUGCGGAAGGAUCAUUAUUGAAUGAACUUGGUGUGGUUGUUGCUGGCCCUUUCGGGGGCAUGUGCACACCCACCAUCCUCAUCUCUCCACCUGUGCACCUCUUGUAGACUUGGAUUGACUUUCCGAGGCAACUCGGUCGGGAGGACUUGCUGGCGCUAGCUGGCUUUCCUUGCAUUUCCAAGUCUACGUUUUUCAUAUACCCCAUUGAAUGUAACAGAAUGUAACAUUGGGCCUUGUGCCUAUAAAAACUUAUACAACUUUCAGCAACGGAUCUCUUGGCUCUCGCAUCGAUGAAGAACGCAGCGAAAUGCGAUAAGUAAUGUGAAUUGCAGAAUUCAGUGAAUCAUCGAAUCUUUGAACGCACCUUGCGCUCCUUGGUAUUCCGAGGAGCAUGCCUGUUUGAGUGUCAUUAAAUUCUCAACCAUUAUUAGCUUGUGCUGAUAAUGGCUUGGAUAUGGGGGUUUAUUUUGCUGGCUUCUUCACAGAUUGUCAGCUCCCCUUAAAUGCAUUAGCCGGUGCCCCGCGUGGACUGUCUAUUGGUGUGAUAAUUAUCUACGCCGUGGACAUCUACAAUCAUAUGGGUUUGCACUGCUUCCAACCGUCUGUUUAUUCAGACAAUACAUGACAAUUUGACCUCAAAUCAGGUAGGACUACCCGCUGAACUUAAGCAUAUCAAUAAGCGGAGGAAAAGAAACUAACAAGGAUUCCCCUAGUAACU
rnacentral:rRNA from 1 species